GACAGAGGGUGCAAGCGUUGUUCGGAAUCAUUGGGCGUAAAGGGCGCGUAGGCGGCUUUGUAAGUCGGAUGUGAAAGCCCAGGGCUUAACCUUGGAAGUGCAUCCGAAACUGCGAAACUUGAGUCCCGGAGAGGGUGGUGGAAUUCCCAGUGUAGAGGUGAAAUUCGUAGAUAUUGGGAGGAACACCGGUGGCGAAGGCGACCACCUGGACGGAGACUGACGCUGAGGCGCGAAAGCGUGGGGAGCAAACAGG
rnacentral:rRNA from 1 species